UGGGGAAUAUUGGACAAUGGGCGCAAGCCUGAUCCAGCCACGCCGCGUGAGUGAUGAAGGCCUUCGGGUCGUAAAGCUCUGUGGGGAGAGACGAACCGCCGAGGAUUAAUACUCUUCGGCAUGACGGUACCUCCUUAGCAAGCACCGGCUAACUUCGUGCCAGCAGCCGCGGUAAUACAGAGGUCCCAAGCGUUGUUCGGAUUCACUGGGCGUAAAGGGUGCGUAGGUGGUAAGGUAAGUCGGAUGUGAAAUCUCCAGGCUCAACCUGGAAACUGCAUUGGAAACUGCCUUGCUUGAGGGUUUGAGGGGGGAUUGGAAUACUUGGUGUAGCAGUGAAAUGCGUAGAUAUCAAGUGGAACACCAGUGGCGAAGGCGAAUCCCUGGAAAAUACCUGACACUGAGGCACGAAAGCUAGGGGAGCAAA
rnacentral:rRNA from 1 species